UAUCUAUCCAUUUCUGUUCAUAUCAAGUUUACAUUUGGAUCAAAUUAUUUCACCUUUUUCAAUCGUAGUUGCGAGUAAUCUAAGAAUGAUUUGGGGAAUUGGAACAGAACAACCUGAGAGUACAUCUUCUCAUCAGCAGUCAAAACUUCUCCCUAUGAGAAUCAUUCUGAUUUCCUCGCUGAUUAUUCAAUUCUUUACCAACUCUGAAUGUCUGAGCAGAGCUGAUUUUCCAGAUGGCUUCAUAUUUGGAACUGCAGCAUCGGCAUACCAGUUCGAAGGGGCUGUAGAUGAAGGAAAUCGAGGUACCAGUAUAUGGG
rnacentral:misc_RNA from 1 species